CAAAUUAGUUGAUGGAUUUCGUUUUCAGAAAUAAAUUCUCUGCUCUUGUUUUUGUGAAAAAACUUGGUUUUUAUGCUUUGACUGAUCUGUUUAUGUCACCAAUGUUAGCUGUAAGUUUGGUUUGUGUUACCAAUUUAAUGGGCUUUGCAUCAUCUCUCACAAACUACACUCUGUUUUUCUCAUACCAGUGGUGAUAUAUUGCUUUGGUGGGAGAACAGAGAAGUCAAAAAAAUUAAUUGACAAUUGAGUAGAAAAAUUAAUUGACAAUUGAGUAAAAAAAUUAAGAAUAACAACGCUGGAAAUACCUCAGCGAAUCUGUAAGAUUUAAUCCCCUUCCUGAUAGAACCCAAGGGAGCUGGAAAGUGAGCACUUUGGAAGAGCAGAGGAAGAUGAGAAGAAUGGAAACGAAGAAGGCAAGCAAUUCGGUGGGAAAAAAGGUGGUUUUGUAAAACAGUGGAACCCUCCAGAUUUAAACAGUGAAGAACCAACAGCUCUCCCAUUUUACCCCUGUAGCUCUCCAACCAGCUAGUUGAAAUCCCACCAGACACCUCUCAGCCCUAAACAACAGCUAGUUACAUCCCAAGGAAAGAGAGGGCAAAACGGGAAAAAUACAGAACAAUCAGUCAAGGGCAAAAUGGCAAUUUUACUGUGCAAAAGGAGAGGAAAAGCUGGCUGCACAGUUUUAAAUGGAGGCAUUUUCACUACGCUUGAAAAGAAAAGUAGAAAAAAGGAAACAACCGACUAAGCAAAGAUAGAUACUUAAAGCGACACGUGUAUGACACGUAUACAAGAAGACUCCGAGCAGCGAAAGAGAUAAAUUCCCAUCUGUCCUACAAGUGUCCUCCGCCGAAAUUGAAAUCGAAAUCAUCUUCUUCUUCCUCCUUGCGUCUGUUUAUGCAACUCAACCUCUUCGUCUUCUUACCUUUCCUCGCAUUCUCAUCCUUGGCAGAAGAAUCAAAUCCCUCCCAACUCCAAAACAUGGCCACUCUCGGCGGAGUCCACGAAUCCCAUGCCUCCCAGAACAGCCUCGAAAACCAAGACCUCGCUCGCUUCGCCGUCCAAGACCAUAACAACACGGAGCCAAAUCCUUUGCUGCAAAACUUGCUUCAAAUCUUAACUCAAGUCCAAAUCCUUUGCAAAGAAUCGAAACAUGGCUGGAGCUUUGGUUGGAGAGGCUAUUCUCUCUGCCUCCGUGCAGGUGCUGUUUGACAAGAUUGGUUCCAGCGAGUUCGUGGACUUGUUCCGGAGAAAGAAACUGGACGAGUCGCUUGUUAAGAAACUGGAGAUAACGUUGUUGAGCCUUAAUGCGGUGCUUAAUGACGCGGAGGAGAAGCAAUUCCUGAACAGCUACGUGAAAGAGUGGCUUGAUAAGCUUCAAGAUGCUGUCUUUGAUGCGGAUGACCUUCUGGAUGAGAUCAAUGCUGAAGUUUUGCGAUGCAAGGUGGAAGCUGAAUAUCGAACCGUCAAAACUCAGGUGUGGAACUUCCUCUCUACUUCUCUUAAUCCUUUUUAUCAAGGCAUGAAUGGUAGGAUUCAAGAGUUGUUUGAUAGAUUAGAACACCUCGCAAAACAAAAGGAUUUCCUUGGGCUGAGAGAAGGUGUUGUUGGGGGGAAGGUUUCUCAAAGAACUCCAACAACUUCCUUGGUGGAUGAAUCUUGUGUGUACGGUAGGGAUGGAGAUAAAGAAAAGCUGAUGAAACUGUUGUUAUCUGAUGAUGCAAGCGACAAGGAUGUCUCCGUCAUCACCAUAGUGGGAAUGGGCGGGGUUGGCAAGACAACCCUCGCUCAGCUCCUUUAUAAUGAUGAAAAAGUGAAAGAGCAUUUUAAUCUUAGAACCUGGGCUUAUGUUUCGGAAGCUUUUGAUGUUACUAGGGUAACUAAGUCCCUACUUGAGUCAGUCAGUUCAAAAGCUUACGAUAAUAAAGACCUGAGUUUUCUUCAAGUUGAGCUAGGACAACAAAUAAAGGGCAAGAAAUUUCUGUUUGUGUUGGAUGACCUUUGGAAUGAGAACUAUGGUGAUUUGAGUCUCUUGCAACGUCCUUUUGCAUCCGGGGCAAAGGGAAGUUGGGUCAUCGUGACAACACGUAACGAAAGUGUUGCAUCUCUCGUGCGCACCAUUCCGAUUCACUUUUUGAAACAGUUGUCUAAUGAGGAUUGCUGGUUGUUACUUUCAAAACACGCCUUCGAAAAUGGAAACUCAAGUGCACAUCUAGAGCUGGAAGAAGUUGGUAAGAAAAUUGCUUCUGCGUGCAAUGGUUUACCUUUAGCAGCAGAAACCCUUGGAGGCCUCUUGCGUUUCAACACAAAUUAUGAGCAAUGGAAUAGCAUACUAAAUAGCAAUAUUUGGGAGCUGCCUCCUGAAAAAUGUAAUACAAUUCCAGCUCUAAGAUUGAGUUACCAUUAUCUCCCAACUGAUUUAAAACGAUGUUUUGCUUAUUGCUCAAUUUUUCCGAAGGGCUUUGAAUUCCGAAAGGAAGAUAUUGUUCUACUGUGGGUGGCAGAAAGUUUAAUUCCACAAGCUGAGAGUGAGAAAAGUAUGGAAGAGCUCACUAAGAAAUACUUUGAUGACUUAUUGUCACGAUCAUUUUUUCAAAGAUCAAGAAAUGAGAAGUUCACAAUGCAUGAUCUCAUCAAUGACUUGGCCAUGUCUGUGUCAAGGGAAUCCUGUUUGAGAUGGGAAGGGGGCGAAUCACAUGAAGUUUUGAAAAAAGUUCGGCAUUUGUCGUAUGCUAUAGGCCAAUUUGAUUGUGCUGCGAAAUUUGAGCCAUUAUAUCAGGUUAAGCAUUUGCGAACCUUCCUACCUCUAAGAAGCAAAGAAUGGUGGUUUGAGCAUUAUGUAAUAAGUAAAAGGGUUUUACCUGAGUUAUUGCCAAAUUUAACAUGUUUACGGGUGCUAACAUUGUCAGAAUAUGAUAAUAUUGUUGAGUUACCCAAUUCUAUUGGUAACCUCAUUCAUUUGCGCUACUUGGAUCUCUCUAAUACCGGAAUCAAAAGGUUACCUUCUAUAGUUUGCACUCUUUAUAGUCUACAAACAUUACUAUUGGCAAGUUGUCGGUCUCUUUUUGAAUUGCCUGCAGACAUGAGAAAAUUGAUUAACUUGAGGCAUCUUGAUUGUAGUGGAACUCAAAUUGAAGAGAUGCCGGUGCAAAUGGGUAGACUAAAAAGUUUGAGAACAUUGACUACUUUUGUUGUGGGGAAAUCUACUGGGUUGACUAUUGGCGAAUUGGGGGAGUUAUCCCAUCUUGGAGGAAAGCUUUCAAUUUUGAAGCUUAAUAAUGUGGUUGAUGGUAGGGAUGCAUUGCAAGCUAAUUUGAAGAACAAACAAGAUCUCAAGGAGUUAGAGUUGGCAUGGGGCUCCAAAGAUGCCGAUCAUUCCGAAAAGGUGAGAGAUGUGCUUGACAACCUCCAACCUUGCAUGAAUUUGGAGAAAUUGACCAUCAAACGUUAUGGCGGGACCAGCUUCCCAAACUGGUUGGGAGACUCUGCCCUCAAUAAAAUAAAAGUUUUGCUUCUCGAAGAUUGUCGUUAUUGUUUCGAGUUGCCACCGCUUGGACAGCUACCUUCUCUUAAGGAGCUCAACAUAUGUAGGAUGAAAUUUCUUAGGACGUUAGGUCCUGAGUUCUAUGGUCAGCCAUUUCAGCCAUUUCAAUCGCUGGAGAUGCUGGGGUUUAGGGAGAUGGCAGAGUGGGAGGAAUGGGUACCAAGUGGAAGUGAAGGUCCAAACUUUCCUCGUCUGCGGAGGUUGAUUCUAAGUUGGUGUCCAAAGCUGAUAGGAAGCUUGCCUUGUGAUCUGCCUUGCUUGAAGAAGCUUAGCGUGAAAGGGUGUGGGGUUUUACAUGAUCAAAGGGCCACUGCUACUACUAGUACUAGUACUAGUCUCAACUACAAUUGUCUUGAAGAAUUGGAAAUAGAAGAUGGAUGCCAAACAGGUCUGUUAUCAUUACUAGAGACAAAGCUCCUGUCCCGACUUUAUGUUACACGUUUUAAUGACAUACAGUGCUUGCCCAACAUCAAUCGUCUUCAAAGGUUGAGUCUCUCGAAGUGUCCAACCCUGUCGUCGUUCCCUGAAGAUGGCCUACCCACUUCGUUGACUUCACUUAACAUAUACAGUUGUAGGAGAUUAGAAUUCCUACCUCAUGAGAUGUUGGCCCAAUUAACAUCGCUUUCCUCUUUGAUUCUAGAGAAUAGCUGUGAUUCAAUGAGGUCCUUCCCCUUGGGCAUUUUUCCCAAAUUGACGACACUUGAUAUUCGCAAUUGUGAGAAUCUGGAAUCGCUUUGCUUGAUUGAAGAAGAAGGAGCGGUCGAGAAUCUCAGUCAUCUCAAUAAUUUGAGAAUCUCAAGCUGUCCAAAUCUGGAGUGUUUUCCCCAGGGAGGAUUGCCCACUCCCAACCUGACUUGUUUGGUAUUCCGGAGAUGCAAGAAGUUGAAGUCAUUACCUGAACGCAUUCACACCCUCACAGCCCUUGAAAGAUUGAGUAUAAGCGACGUUCCAAAUCUGGAGUCAAUUGCAGAGGAUGGGGGUUUGCCUCCCAACCUCCGAUAUUUUAGCAUUGAGAAUUGUGUGAGACUGAGGGCUUCAUCUUCAUCAGUGGGAGACUACUGUAACUGGGGUUUGCAAGCAGUUGAAGAAUUUACAAUUGGUGGCAGGGGAAGUGAUGAAAUCUUGGAGACGUUGCUCAAGCAACAGCUGCUCCCUACCACUCUUCACACUCUCUGGAUCUCUUCAUUAUCAACUCUGAAAUAUUUGGAUGGAAAGGGACUUGCACACCUUACUUCUCUUCAAGAACUAUUUAUUGCUGGGUGUGACAGUCUGGAAUUCCUGCCAGGAGAGGCACUUCAACACCUCACUUCUCUUCAAAAGCUAAAUAUUUGUAACUGUCCGAGUCUCCAAUUCCUGCCAGAAGAGGGUCUGCCGCCAUCUCUUUCUUAUCUGAAGAUCGUCGGCUGUUCUGCCCUGGAGAAAAGAUAUCAGAAUAAAACGGGACAAGAUUGGGCCAGCAUAUCUCACAUUCCAUACAUCAGGAUAAAUGACUUGAGAAACUUUCCCAUGUUUGGAGGUCAAAGCAACUUGUAUAGGCAACCAUGCCCGAGGAGAGUUUACCAUUGUAUAUGGAUUUUUGUUUUUCUACAAACAAAUUGCGGCAAAGAAGGGGAAGGAAAUGUUCUCAAAGCAGAGCUCUAGAAAGAGACCAGCAUUUGGACAAUGUCGUAAACGGAUCUCAAUCUAACAUAACAAGCAUCACUUUCCAUUCAUGAUUAGAGUGGGAGGAAUGAAGACCAGAAAGCCGGUGUCCAGAUUUUCCUCAUCUCAAGGACCUGACUUUAGACAAGAGUCUGAAGCUAAGAGGAAGCUUGCCUUCUCAUCUCACUUGCUUGAAAGACUUAGCUUGUCGUCUGGGUGUGGGGUUCUACAUGAUGAAAGGGCCAGUACUACUUGUAACAUGGAAUAAUGUCUUCGAAGAAUUAGAAAUAUAUGAUGGAUGCCCUAUUUGAUACGAUGCCAUUUCCAAUUCAAAAACUUUUCAGGUAUGUUAAGAAAGUAUUACACAACUAGAUGUUUAUGAUUCAAAUUCAAAACAAAGCACAAAUUGGAUUCAUAUAAAUCUACCUAAUUGCCGCGCCAUUGAUUGUAACAAUUGAUAAUUGAAUAUGCAUCUUUCAGUGUCGUCCCCUUUAAGUUUUUAGCGUAUCAAUUAGUCUCUAUCAUCUCUAUUUUCUUGUACAUUACAUACUUGUUGGUUGGAAAUUAGUUUUCAGAAGCUACAUGAGUUGGGGUUAACUAGAGAAAUUAGUUUGUUCAUAUUCUAAGACGAAUCUAACGAUCCAAGUCUUAAUGUCUUGAACUUAGGAGUGUCUUGUUGAGCUGAGAUAUGCAUGAAAAUGGAAAGCAAUCGAGUUGAAAUCCUCACUGGCUUUUCAAAAUCUGAUGAGGAAAAGUAUGAGAAAACACAUGAAGGUAAAAUUCUGUUGGUCCUUUUCUGUGCCUUUCACAUCCGAAAGGUUUGCUUGCUGCAAUUAUUCGAACUACAGUUCCAUUUCAUUAGAAUUAUUAUUAUUUUUGGUUGUAUCUCUAGACUCUCUGCGUAAGAUUCCCAAUGGGAACUACCCCAACUUGACCCAAUUUGGCAUGGAUUGUGUAUUUUGAGAUUUCAAGGUAACUGCUGCUAAUGGAAGCCCUCCUUGUUUCACUUGUUAAUUCUUAGGGAAUAACAAUUUUACCAACAA